rnacentral:snoRNA from 1 species
UGCUCGUGGCUAAAUUGAGACACAGGUCAUGCUUCCAUCACAGUAAAUGCAUUGCAGUGGUGACAAUGAGAUCUGUUAACAUUU